GAUGAACGCUAGCGGGAGGCCUAACACAUGCAAGCCGAGCGGUAGAGUUUCUUCGGAAACUUGAGAGCGGCGCACGGGUGCGUAACACGUGUGCAACCUACCUUUAUCUGGGGGAUAGCCUUUCGAAAGGAAGAUUAAUACCCCAUAAUAUAAUGAUUGUCAUCAAUUAUUAUUGAAAACUCCGGUGGAUAGAGAUGGGCACGCGCAAGAUUAGAUAGUUGGUGAGGUAACGGCUCACCAAGUCAAUGAUCAUUAGGGGUCCUGAGAGGGAGAUCCCCCACAGUGGUACUGAGACACGGACCAGACUCAUACGGGAGGCAGCAGUGAGGAAUAUUGGACAAUGGGUGAGAGCCUGAUCCAGCCAUCCCGCGUGAAGGAUGACGGUCCUAUGGAUUGUAAACUUCUUUUGUACAGGGAUAAACCUACCCUCGUGAGGGUAGCUGAAGGUACUGUACGAAUAAGCACCGGCUAACUCCGUG
rnacentral:rRNA from 1 species